CAGCACCGCCCACCGCAACUCCA
rnacentral:siRNA from 1 species